rnacentral:rRNA from 1 species
UAAUACGUAGGGUGCGAGCGUUAAUCGGAAUUACUGGGCGUAAAGCGUGCGCAGGCGGUUCUGCAAGUCAGAUGUGAAAUCCCCGGGCUUAACCUGGGAACUGCGUUUGAAACUACGGAGCUAGAGUACGGCAGAGGGGGGUGGAAUUCCACGUGUAGCAGUGAAAUGCGUAGAUAUGUGGAGGAACACCGAUGGCGAAGGCAGCCCCCUGGGCCGAUACUGACGCUCAGGCACGAAAGCGUGGGGAGCAAACAGGAUUAGAUACCCUGGUAGUCCACGCCCUAAACUAUGUCAACUAGUUGUCGGGGAAGCAAUUCCUUGGUAACGAAGCUAACGCGUGAAGUUGACCGCCUGGGGAGUACGGUCGCAAGAUUAAAACUUAAAGGAAUUG